rnacentral:rRNA from 1 species
UACGGGGGGGGGCAAGCGUUGUUCGGAUUCAUUGGGCGUAAAGGGUGCGUAGGUGGUCUGGUAAGUCGGAUGUGAAAUCCCGGAGCUUAACUUCGGAACUGCAUUCGAUACUGCCGGACUGGAGUACUGGAGAGGAGAUCGGAAUUUACGGUGUAGCAGUGAAAUGCGUAGAUAUCGUAAGGAAGACCAGUGGCGAAGGCGGAUCUCUGGACAGUUACUGACACUGAGGCACGAAGGCCAGGGGAGCAAACGGG